rnacentral:rRNA from 1 species
UGAGCCCUACGGGGGGCAGCAGUGAGGAAUAUUGGUCAAUAGGCGCGAGCCUGAACCAGCCACGUAGCGUGAAGGAUGACUGCCCUACGGGUUGUAAACUUCUUUUAUAAAGGAAUAAAGUGAGGCACGUGUGCCUUUUUGUAUGUACUUUAUGAAUAAGGAUCGGCUAACUCCGUGCCAGCAGCCGCGGUAAUACGGAGGAUCCGAGCGUUAUCCGGGUUUAUUGGGUUUAAAGGGUGCGUAGGC